CGGACAGGUGGGUAAUGCAUAUGUAGCAUAGGAACAUCAUUAGCAGGCAACAUUAUGAUUAGGAACUGCUGGAGUUGCGUGUGAAAGUGACUAGCUGCAUCUUUACAUUAAUAUUAUUUGUUGAUGGGAAUACAAAGCUUUGGAAGUAUAUUAAGUUGAUACUAGUCCUGUUGUCAUGGGGAUAUGUAGGAGAGGCAUGGGAAGAUGCAGCUGCUUCAGAGUGCUGAUGAGCAUCUCUCCCAGAAAUGGAAAUCUUUGAUAAAUGUAAUCACCUUCCUGGCCUUGAACCAGUUCCAUAAGAAUUUCUGCCAACUUGGUUCCAAACUUACCUAAGUGGUCAAUGUUCUCUGGGGAGUGGCUACUCCAGCCUGCCAGAACCCGACUGGCAACUGUCACCCAGAGGACCUUUUCAUCAGCUGCCCCAAGACUGUGGAAUGACCUGCCAGAAGAGCUCUGACAGCUAGAUCAGUUUAAGACACAGUUGAAGACCCAUCUCUUCUGUUAUGCCUACCUGGUCAAUGUUGAGUUCUGAAUUUUAAUCUGUACAUCAUCAGUGGAUUUUAACUUGUACUUUAACUCUGUGUAUUUUGUUGUAUGUCUUUUAAUAGUGUUUUUCUCCUCUUUUAAUGAUGUUGCAUCCCACCUCGAGCCUCAGGGAGAGGCCAAUAACAAAUUAGUUGUUGUUGUUUAAAAUGUACCUGUUCUAAUUUACAUGCAAAUUCCACUUAAGAACUAACCCACAGAACCUAUCUUGUUCAUAAUCCAGGGCUGUCUGUAAUUGCUUUCUAUGUCAAUGUCUGAACAGGUUUUCUUCAAGACACUUAUUGCUGAACUGUUUAUUAUACUGUGAAGUAUAUGUUCUAAUAAAUUAAAAUAUGUUUGC
rnacentral:lncRNA from 11 species